rnacentral:rRNA from 1 species
UAGGGAAUAUUGCUCAAUGGGCGAAAGCCUGAAGCAGCAACGCCGCGUGUGCGAUGAAGGCCUUCGGGUCGUAAAGCACUUUUCUGGGAGAUGAGAAAGGACAGUAUCCCAGGAAUAAGUCUCGGCUAACUACGUGCCAGCAGCCGCGGUAAAACGUAGGAGGCAAGCGUUAUCCGGAUUCACUGGGCGUAAAGCGCGUGCAGGUGGCGCGGUAAGUUAGGCGUGAAAUCUCCCGGCUCAACUGGGAGAGGUCGUCUAAUACUACCGUGCUUGAGAGCAGAAGAGGAAGAUGGAAUUCCCGGUGUAGUGGUGAAAUGCGUAGAUAUCGGGAGGAACACCAGUGGCGAAGGCGAUCUUCUGGUCUGUUUCUGACACUCAGACGCGACAGCUAGGGUAGUAAACGGGAUUAGAGACCCCGGUAAUCCUAGCCGUAAACGAUGUGAACUUGGCGUUGGUGGGUUAAACUCCAUCAGUGCCGAAGCAAACGCGAUAAGUUCACCGCCUGGGGACUACGGCCGCAAGGUUAA